rnacentral:rRNA from 1 species
UACGGAGGGUGCAAGCGUUAAUCGGAAUUACUGGGCGUAAAGCGUGCGCAGGCGGUUUGUUAAGUCUGCUGUGAAAUCCCCGAGCUCAACUUGGGAAUUGCAGUGGAUACUGGCAGGCUGGAGUAUGGUAGAGGAAGGUGGAAUUCCCGGUGUAGCAGUGAAAUGCGUAGAGAUCGGGAGGAACACCAGUGGCGAAGGCGGCUCACUGGCCCGAUACUGACGCUGAUGCACGAAAGCGUGGGGAGCAAACAGG